GACGAACGCUGGCGGCGUGCUUAACACAUGCAAGUCGAACGGUGAACGAGGGAGCUUGCUCCCUCCGGAUCAGUGGCGAACGGGUGAGUAACACGUGAGCAAUCUGCCCCGAACUCUGGGAUAAGCGUUGGAAAGGACGUCUAAUACCGGAUACGCCCCGGGUGGGCAUCCUCUCCGCGUGGAAAGAACUUCGGUUCGGGAUGGGCUCGCGGCCUAUCAGCUUGUUGGUGAGGUAGCGGCUCACCAAGGCGACGACGGGUAGCCGGCCUGAGAGGGUGACCGGCCACACUGGGACUGAGACACGGCCCAGACUCCUACGGGAGGCAGCAGUGGGGAAUAUUGCACAAUGGGCGCAAGCCUGAUGCAGCAACGCCGCGUGAGGGACGACGGCCUUCGGGUUGUAAACCUCUUUUAGCAGGGAAGAAGCGAAAGUGACGGUACCUGCAGAAAAAGCACCGGCUAACUACGUG
rnacentral:rRNA from 1 species